rnacentral:rRNA from 1 species
GGGUCAGCGACUUAUAUUCUGUAGCAAGGUUAACCGAAUAGGGGAGCCGAAGGGAAACCGAGUCUUAACUGGGCGUUAAGUUGCAGGGUAUAGACCCGAAACCCGGUGAUCUAGCCAUGGGCAGGUUGAAGGUUGGGUAACACUAACUGGAGGACCGAACCGACUAAUGUUGAAAAAUUAGCGGAUGACUUGUGGCUGGGGGUGAAAGGCCAAUCAAACCGGGAGAUAGCUGGUUCUCCCCGAAAGCUAUUUAGGUAGCGCCUCGUGAAUUCAUCUCCGGGGGUAGAGCACUGUUUCGGCAAGGGGGUCAUCCCGACUUACCAACCCGAUGCAAACUGCGAAUACCGGAGAAUGUUAUCACGGGAGACACACGGCGGGUGCUAACGUCCGUCGUGAAGAGGGAAACAACCCAGACCGCCAGCUAAGGUCCCAAAGUCAUGGUUAAGUGGGAAACGAUGUGGGAAGGCCCAGACAGCCAGGAUGUUGGCUUAGAAGCAGCCAUCAUUUAAAGAAAGCGUAAUAGCUCACUGGUCGAGUCGGCCUGCGCGGAAGAUGUAACGGGGCUAAACCAUGCACCGAAGCUGCGGCAGCGACACUAUGUGUUGUUGGGUAGGGGAGCG